rnacentral:miRNA from 1 species
AGGACCCCGGCUCUGGAGCUAGCGUCCGCGUCUGGGGUUGCCCCUGCCUCUCCUGGGUCAACCGCCUCCUCCUCUCUCCUCAG